AGCGAACGCUGGCGGCAGGCCUAACACAUGCAAGUCGAACGGAUCCUUCGGGAUUAGUGGCGGACGGGUGAGUAACACGUGGGAACGUGCCCUUUGGUUCGGAACAACUCAGGGAAACUUGAGCUAAUACCGGAUGUGCCCUUCGGGGGAAAGAUUUAUCGCCAUUGGAGCGGCCCGCGUCUGAUUAGCUAGUUGGUGAGGUAAAGGCCCACCAAGGCGACGAUCAGUAGCUGGUCUGAGAGGAUGAUCAGCAACAUUGGGACUGAGACACGGCCCAAACUCCUACGGGAGGCAGCAGUGGGGAAUCUUGCGCAAUGGGCGAAAGCUUGACGCAGCCAUGCCGCGUGAAUGAUGAAGGUCUUAGGAUUGUAAAAUUCUUUCACCGGGGACGAUAAUGACGGUACCCGGAGAAGAAGCCCCGGCUAACUUCGUGCCAGCCGCCGCCGUAA
rnacentral:rRNA from 1 species